CACCAAUCACACUGCCAGGAUGGGCGAGCGCUGCUUUUGAUUGGCCGAUGCCUGCUCCCGCCUCUGGAUGUUGAAUUCGCGGCGGCGCUGGGGCCGGGCUUUGCGGGUCAACUGGACUAGUACAGCCCAGGCUACCGGUGAGAUUAGGAAGUGAGGGACCUGCUUUCUAGCCCUGAUAAAAUGCAGUAUGGACGGGAACGGAAACGCGGUUAGUUAAAAUAGAAAAGCAUCUUACCCGCGGUGUACUUCAAAAAGCCAUAGGGAAGAUGCAGUGAGAAGGUAGCCAUCUACAAGCCAGGAAGAGAAUUCUCAGCAGGAACCAAAUCAGCCAGUACCUUGACCUUGACUUGCCAGCCUCCAGAACUGUGAGAAAAUAAAUAAUCCCUUUGGAAACUAUCGGUCCUACCUCUAUUAUGAAGAAUCAUGUUUUCCUUAUCAGUGUAAGUCUCCGUGUUUUGUUUUGUUUUCCCCUGAGGGAGGAGGGGACAGGAUCACAAUAACAAGACAAUUCAAUGAGCAGAAAUGUGUACACUUAAGAACAGUGUGUCUGUUGUGUGUGUGUGUGUAAUUCUAUUUGUAUAAAAAUUUAAAACUUGGCCCACAUCACUCUAUAUUAAAUAUGAAUGCAUUCAUGUGAAGGGGAAGUAGGAAAAAAUUCAUGAGAAAGAUGAAGGCCACGUAGGGCCCUCUUUCGAGGGGAGGAAGGAACUGUUUUCUAGAAAGGGGAUGUAAGAGACCACACAGAAUUAUUUUACUAAAAGAAGAUCUGAGUUAAAUAUGGAAAAAUGUAAACAUUUCAUAA